UGCCUACGGGAGGCAGCAGUGGGGAAUAUUGCACAAUGGGGGAAACCCUGAUGCAGCGACGCCGCGUGAGCGAUGAAGUAUUUCGGUAUGUGAAGCUCUAUCAGCAGGGAAGAAAAUGACGGUACCUGACUAAGAAGCCCCGGCUAACUACGUGCCAGCAGCCGCGGUAAUACGUAGGGGGCGAGCGUUAUCCGGAUUCACUGGGUGUAAAGGGAGCGUAGACGGCCAAGCAAGCCAGGGGUGAAAGCCCGGGGCCCAACCCCGGGACUGCCCUUGGAACUGCAUGGCUGGAGUGCGGGAGGGGG
rnacentral:rRNA from 1 species